AUUAACGCUGGCGGUGUGUCUAAUACAUGCAAGUCGGCCCUGUAUCGCAAGAUACGGGGGGCAAACGGGUGAGGAACACGUUGGUAACCUGCUCCGAAGAGAGGGAUAACCCUUCGAAAGAGGGACUAAUACCGCAUAGUCCCCGAUAUUUAUUUAUCGGGGUAAAGCCGUAAGGCGCUUCGGAAGGGGCCUGCGUCCUAUCAGCUAGUUGGCGAGGUAAUGGCUCACCAAGGCUAAGACGGGUAGCUGGUCUGAGAGGAUGAUCAGCCACAAUGGAACUGAGACACGGUCCAUACUCCUACGGGAGGCAGCAGUAAGGAAUCUUUCGCAAUGGCCGAAAGGCUGACGAAGCAACACCGCGUGAUUGAUGAAACUCGUAAGGGCGUAAAAAUCUUUUCUGGGAGAUUAAUUUUGAAAGUAUCCCAGGAAUAAGCACCUGCUAACUACGU
rnacentral:rRNA from 1 species